UUAGAGUUUGAUCCUGGCUCAGGAUGAACGCUGGCGGCGUGCCUUAGGCAUGCAAGUCGAACGGUCCCGCAAGGGACAGUGGCGGACGGCUGAGUAACACGUAGGAAUCUACCCUGAAGUGAAGGAUAGCUCGCCGAAAGGCGGGGUAAUACUGCAUGUGAUCGCAAGAUCAAAGAGCUUAACUGCUCGCUUCAGGAGGGGCCUGCGGCCUAUCAGCUAGUUGGUGAGGUAAUGGCUCACCAAGGCUAUGACGGGUAGCUGAUCUGAGAGGAUGACCAGCCAGAAUGGAACUGAGAACGGUCCAUACAUCUACGGAUGGCAGCAACCGGGAAUCGUCGGCAAUGGACGAAAGUCUGACCGCGCGACGCCGCGUGUAGGAUGAAGGCCUACGGGUUGUAAACUACUCAAUUUCAAGCUAUAGCAAGAAAGGAUGAAGUCGCUGCUAACUACGUGCCAGAAGCCUCGGUAAUACGUAGGCGACAAGCGUUAUCCGGAUUUACUGGGCGUAAAGCGAGUGUAGGUGGUUUUUUAAGUCUUUUUUGAAAUCGUUCCGCUCAACGGGACUCACGGAAAGGAUACUGAAAAACUAGAGUCAUAUAGGGACAACUGGAACUCUCGGUGUAGGGGUGAAAUCCGAUGAUAUCGAGAGGAACACCAAGGGCGAGGCAGGUUGUUGGAUAUGUACUGACACUGAGACUCGACAGCUAGGGGAGCGAAAGGGAUUAGAGACCCCUGUAGUCCUAGCCGUAAACUAUGAGUGCUAGAUGUUGUCGCCGUAGGCGACAGUGUCGUAAGCUAACGCGUUAAGCACUCCGCCUGGGGAGUACGGCCGCAAGGCUAAAACUCAAAGGAAUUGACGGGGAGGAGCACAACCAGUGGAGCGUGUGGUUUAAUUCGAUACGAAGCGAAAAACCUUACCAAGACUUGACAUGUAUUUUACACUUUUGCCGAAAGGUGAAAGUUCAACGGAUACACAGCUGCUGCAUGGCUGUCGUCAGUUCGUUCCGUGAGGAGUUCCCUUAAGUGGGGUAACGAACGCAACCCCUGCUGUCUGUUACAAGUGUCAGACGGGACUGCCUGCGUCAAACGCAGGAGGAAGGAGGGGCAGACGUCAAGUCAGCAUGGCGCUUAUGUCUUGGGCAACACACACCCUACAAUGGAGCCGACAAAGGGCUUGUGAAACGGUAACGUGGAACUAAUCCCAUCAAACGGCUUCCCAGUUGGGAUUGAGGGCUGAAAUUCGCCCUCAUGAACUAGGAAUUGGUAGUAAUCGCGAAUCAGAAGGUCGCGGUGAAUACGUUCUCUCCUCUUGUACACACCGCCCGUCAAGGCAGCAAAGUUGGUAAUGGCCGAAGCCCCGUGCUUGCACGGGAUUAAGCUAGGACCAGCGAUGAAGCUUAAGUCGUAACAAGGUAACC
rnacentral:rRNA from 1 species